GGCGGCAGCUUACCAUGCAAGUCGAACGGUAGCAGGAAGAAGCUUGCUUCUUUGCUGACGAGUGGCGGACGGGUGAGUAAUGCUUGGGAAUCUGGCUUAUGGAGGGGGAUAACUACUGGAAACGGUAGCUAAUACCGCGUAAUAUCGGAAGACUAAAGGGUGGGACCGAAAGGCCACCUGCCAUAAGAUGAGCCCAAGUGGGAUUAGGUAGUUGGUGGGGUAAAGGCCUACCAAGCCGACGAUCUCUAGCUGGUCUGAGAGGAUGACCAGCCACACUGGAACUGAGACGCGGUCCAGACUCCUACGGGAGGCAGCAGUGGGGAAUAUUGCACAAUGGGGGGAACCCUGAUGCAGCCAUGCCGCGUGAAUGAAGAAGGCCUUCGGGUUGUAAAGUUCUUUCGGUGAUGAGGAAGGUAUCAAACUUAAUAGAUUUGGUAAUUGACGUUAGUCACAGAAGAAGCACCGGCUAACUCCGUGCCAGCAGCCGCGGUAAU
rnacentral:rRNA from 1 species